GGGCCCUACGGGGCGCAGCAGGCGCGAAACCUCCGCAAUGUGAGCAAUCGCGACGGGGGGACCCCAAGUGCCAUUCUUAACGGGAUGGCUUUUCUUGAGUGUAAAAAGCUCUUGGAAUAAGAGCUGGGCAAGACCGGUGCCAGCCGCCGCGGUAACACCGGCAGCUCUAGUGGUAGCCAUUUUUAUUGGGCCUAAAGCGUUCGUAGCCGGUUUAAUAAGUCUCUGGUGAAAUCCUACAGCUUAACUGUAGGAAUUGCUGGAGAUACUAUUAGACUGAGGU
rnacentral:rRNA from 1 species